rnacentral:rRNA from 1 species
CCUACGGGUGGCAGCAGUGAGGAAUAUUGGUCAAUGGACGAGAGUCUGAAUCAGCCAAGUAGCGUGAAGGAUGACUGCCCUAUGGUUUGUAAACUUCUUUUAUAUGGGAAUAAAAUGUUCCACGUGUGUGAUUAUGUAUGUACCAUAUGAAUAAGGACCGGCUAACUCCGGUCCAGCAGCCGCGGUAAUACGGAGGAUCCGAGCGUUAUCCGGAUUUAUUGGGUUUAAAGGGAACGUAGGUGGAUUGGUAAGUCAGUUGUGAAAGUUUUCGGCUCAACCGUAGAAUUGCAGUUGAAACUGGCAGUCUUGAGUACAGUAGAGGUGGGCGGAAUUCGUGGUGUAGCGGUGAAAUGCUUAGAUAUCACGAAGAACUCCGAUUGCGAAGGCAGCUCACUGGACUGCAACUGACGCUGAGGCUCGAAAGUGUGGGUAUCAAACAGGAUUAGAUACCCCUGUAGUC